UACAGAGGGUGCGAGCGUUGUCCGGAAUCACUGGGCGUAAAGGGCGCGUAGGUGGUGGCUUAAGCGUGCGGUGAAAGCUCGGGGCUCAACCCCGAGUCGGCCGUGCGAACUGGUUCGCUCGUGCAUAGUAGAGGCAGGUCGGAAUUCCGGGUGUAGCGGUGGAAUGCGUAGAGAUCCGGAAGAACACCGGUGGCGAAGGCGGCCUGCUGGGCGUA
rnacentral:rRNA from 1 species